rnacentral:rRNA from 1 species
AUUGAACGCUGGCGGCAUGCCUUACACAUGCAAGUCGAACGGUAACAGGUUAAGCUGACGAGUGGCGAACGGGUGAGUAAUGUAUCGGAACGUGCCCAGUCGUGGGGGAUAACUGCUCGAAAGAGCAGCUAAUACCGCAUACGACCUGAGGGUGAAAGCGGGGGAUCGCAAGACCUCGCGCGAUUGGAGCGGCCGAUAUCAGAUUAGGUAGUUGGUGAGGUAAAGGCUCACCAAGCCGACGAUCCGUAGCUGGUCUGAGAGGACGACCAGCCACACUGGGACUGAGACACGGCCCAGACUCCUACGGGAGGCAGCAGUGGGGAAUUUUGGACAAUGGGCGCAAGCCUGAUCCAGCCAUGCCGCGUGCGGGAAGAAGGCCUUCGGGUUGUAAACCGCUUUUGUCAGGGAAGAAAAGGUUCUGGCUAAUACCUGGGACUCACGACGGUACCUGAAGAAUAAGCACCGGCUAACUACGUGCCAGCCGCCGCGGUAAGAC